CAGCAUAAACACAAUGCUGUAAGGAUGAACAGACUUGUCUGCAGUGCUUCAGGGGUUAGUGCUGUGUAUUAUCACCUGUACCUGUCGUGUCGAAGCGCUC